rnacentral:lncRNA from 1 species
GCCGCCACAUCCCCGCCGCGCCGCGGCCCUCCCGGCGCCGGCCGCGCUGCGUCUCCCCGGACAACGGCCGCUUCCGCCUCAGCGCUGCGCCGCUUCCGCUUCCGGCGCACGACGGCCGUGCGUAGCGCCGCGGGGGGCGAGGCUGCCGCCAUCUUGGCGGGGCGGCGGCAGCAAGCAAACGCCCGCGUUAAUUUUUUUUUUCUUUUUUUUUUUUAGUGACCGCUGYGAGCCAGGGUUCCUCAGAUUCCUCAGAUUUGCCUGUCAGGAAAGUUACUUGGGCCUGACGGUUGCUUCUCCUUCUCCUGCAGCUCACGGCGUUUUCGCAUCUUGCCGCAGGCACCGCUAGGCGAUGGGGAGGCGGCCGAGGGGAUGUAACCGCCGCAACCGCUUCAGGCUUCAAAGCGGACAAACGUCAGACAUGCCCUAUAGUUUUCUCACUCUGCACCUAUGAACCUGCCCUGCAGGCCCUCCAUAACGUGGGCACACAAAACAGCAGCUGCAGGCAUUUAUGUGCACUGUCUUUACAGGCACAGGGCACACGCUAUACUGGUAAGCACUUAGUAAUUUUUGGCCUUUCAGGCUCCUGGAGGUCAACAGGCAUUUUACUGUUGAUUUAUACUAGUUCAGGUCCAAAAUUCUUGCACCAAGGGAAAGGUCAUCCUGAGGACCUGACAGGAUGUUAUGAUUGUAUGGUAAUUUAUAUGGCACACACGCACACUGUAAUUCAUUCCAAAAGCAUGUUUUAUUAUAGCACAGUAUCACAGCCUCAGGCUCUUGCUGUGACAAGUUCAGGUAGCAGGCAUACAAUUUUCUGCCUUCCUAACACGAUGAAAAAGAAACCCUGAAUAGUAUAGACUGAACCAUUUGCCUACUUCUACUAUUUUGACUUCAGAGAAGGAUAGGUUCAGUUUGCCACAUUUUCAGUGACUCAUGAAGACUAAAUUUAAACCUCCAGCCAGCCUGGAAUGGGGGGGUAAAAGCCAGUUAACUACAGCCAUACUUUUUUAAUCUAAAAAGAAAACACAAGCUCUUGUACAUCAGCAUAUCAACCAAAGCUCCCAAGAUGAUAGGCAAGAUAAAUAUUCUGGUAUUUCUUUUCAGGAGAUAAGAUAUCAUUCUUCUUGUCACAGAAUUACUUACUUGCUGUCAGUUUAAAAUUCAAGCUUGAGGGCUGACUAGGUGGGGCAUUUUGAAUAUCAAUAUACUCCUUCAGCUACUAUUACCCUCCCUGUUUACUGCGUUCCUCAAAACUGUCAGCAUCAAACACAAGAGAUUUUACCAAAACUGCAUCUGUCAAAAAGUGAAUGAGGAUUACAAAUUAGGUGAGGAUGAACUACACACACAUACU